rnacentral:rRNA from 1 species
AUUGAACGCUGGCGGCAGGCUUAACACAUGCCAGUCGAACGAGUGGCGGACGGGUGAGUCAUGCUUGGGAAUCUCGCUUAUGGAGGGUGAUAACUACGGGAAACUGUCGCUAAUCCCGCUUCCCAUAGGCUGAGCCCAAGUGGGAUUAGGUAGUUGGGGAGGUAAAGGCUCACCAAGCCGACGAUCUCUAGCUGGUCUGAGAGGAUGACCAGCCACACUGGGACUGAGACACGGCCCAGACUCCUACGGGAGGCAGCAGUGGGGAAUAUUGCGCAAUGGGGGCAACCUGACGCAGCCAUGCCGCGUGAAUGAAGAAGGCCUUCGGGUUGUAAAGUUCUUUCGGUAGCGAGGCGUUAACUACAGAAGAAGAACCGGCUAACUCCGGGCCAGCCGCCGCGGUAAUUC